AUGGAGGCCGCCCUCUCUCCUCCUCAGGCCUACCCGGGAUUGACCCCAACCCCGGCGAGAUGCUUCCUGGAGCGGACGGGGGAUGACCAGCGCGACCGCACAACCCCGCAACUUGGCCCUCGGGCACCUGGCGGCGGGCAGGUGCGCGACGGGGCACCAGAGGUGAUGGCUGGACAUGCCGGCUCCCAUCCAGCGGGUCAUCGACCCACCGAGCUCCGGCGGGAGAAGGUCGUCCGAGGCCAGCUGGAGAAGGGGCGCUGGAGGUUGGCCUCGCGGGAUCCAUCGCUGGCGGCUCGUCCCUCAUCGGUACCUACGACGAUAAUGUCCGUCGAGGCAGAAACGGCGCGGACCAAAACAAUAGCCAUGCCGGAAGAGGAGGCGAGCCAUUGCGCUAGCGCCAUGGACUGUCCGAGCCGGGCCUCCUCCCUCGCUGCAAUCCAAUCAUCCCCGCCCUUCUCUGACCGACGGCAUCUAAGAGGACGCACAUCCGCCACUCCUCUCCGACUGCUCCGGCCGACCCGGCCCUGGGCUGAUGACGAGCAAGAUCUGUCAGGCCUGGGCGUCUCAAUGGAAGCAGAACCAUCCGCGGGGGACGGGAGGAAGUCGUCCGGGUUGGGCUCCUCUUCUCACGGCUUCGACGAGACGAGGGAUCCACCUUGCGUGGCUACAUAUCAAGGAUGUCCUCAUCCUCUUCGCCGGUGGUGA
rnacentral:rRNA from 1 species